GACGAACGCUGGCGGCGUGCCUAAUACAUGCAAGUCGAGCGAAGUUUUUCUGGUGCUUGCACUAGAAAAACUUAGCGGCGAACGGGUGAGUAACACGUAGAGAACCUGCCUCAUAGACUGGGACAACUAUUGGAAACGAUAGCUAAUACCGGAUAACAGUAUUUCUCGCAUGAGAGAUAUUUAAAAGUUGGUUAUGCUAACACUAUGAGAUGGCUUUGCGGUGCAUUAGCUAGUUGGUGGGGUAAAGGCCCACCAAGGCGACGAUGCAUAGCCGACCUGAGAGGGUGAUCGGCCACACUGGAACUGAGACACGGCCCAGACUCCUACGGGAGGCAGCAGUAGGGAAUCUUCCGCAAUGGGCGAAAGCCUGACGGAGCAACGCCGCGUGAGUGAAGAAGGAUUUCGGUUCGUAAAGCUCUGUUGUUAGGGAAGAAUGGAUAUGUAGUAACUAUACGUGUAAGAGACGGUACCUAACCAGAAAGCCACGGCUAACUACGUG
rnacentral:rRNA from 1 species